AUUCUGGGCCCAGCCACAUCCCUGCUCUUGGUAAAGAUGCAGAAACUGAGGCCCGGGACCACACACCUGACACCAAGUGGACUAGGAUUCAGGCCGUUGACCAUAUUCUUUCAACUUCAGGAGCAACAGCACCUGGAGGACCCAAAUUUGCUGUCAUCCUCCACGAGGCCUCAGCAGUCUCCAACAUGGAAGGGCACUGAGCCAGCCUGGGGGUUUCCAGGGACCUUCCUGACUGAACACUGGAAAGACCCUUUCAUUCCAUCCUGUCCCCCAGGUGGGACCCCACGCCCUGAGGUGGAACAGAG
rnacentral:lncRNA from 1 species